rnacentral:tRNA from 1 species
UGGAUCACCUCCUAACAGGGAGACAACAAAAUGUUUAAUAUUAAUUUUGUCACCUUAGGUCGAUCGGUAUCUCACAUCCUUAAUUAAUUAAGGAUUUCGUUUCCUAAGUUUUUUCUAGGUCACACCCAUUAUUUUUCCUGGGCCAUUAGCUCAGGUGGUUAGAGCGCACCCCUGAUAAGGGUGAGGUCCCUGGUUCAAGUCCAGGAUGGCCCAUAUCUCUAUGUUGGGGGUAUAGCUCAGUUGGUAGAGCGCCCGCUUUGCAAGCAGGAUGUCAGCGGUUCGAGUCCGCUUACCUCCACUGAUUACCACCUCUUCCAUAACUUUGAAGAAAGGAAAUGUUUUGAGUUGUGAUUAAAUUCUGAACGAAUCUAGCUUCCUAAUGAAACCAUUAAGAUGCUGGACUCAUUGAAUUAAUUUCAUUGUUUUCAGAGAACCUUGACAACUGCAUAGAUUUUUUUAAAGACAAUAAGCAUCUUUAAUGAUGCAGAUUUAUUAUUUGUGCGAAUGCAUUAAUAACAAUUCUAUUAAGCUGAUGCUUCAAUUUUUUGAAGUUAUUGGUCAAGCUACAAAGGGCUCACGGAGGAUACCUAGGCACACAGAGGCGAUGAAGG